GAUGAACGCUGGCGGCGUGCCUAAUACAUGCAAGUCGAGCGAACGGACGAGAAGCUUGCUUCUCUGAUGUUAGCGGCGGACGGGUGAGUAACACGUGGAUAACCUACCUAUAAGACUGGGAUAACUUCGGGAAACCGGAGCUAAUACCGGAUAAUAUUUUGAACCGCAUGGUUCAAAAGUGAAAGACGGUCUUGCUGUCACUUAUAGAUGGAUCCGCGCUGCAUUAGCUAGUUGGUAAGGUAACGGCUUACCAAGGCAACGAUGCAUAGCCGACCUGAGAGGGUGAUCGUCCACCCUGGAACUGAGACACGGCCCAGACCCCUACGGGGGGCAGCAGGAGGGAACUUUCCGCAUGGGCGAAAGCCUGACGGAGCACCCCCGCGUGAGGGAUGAAGGUUUUCGGUUCGUAAACCCUUUUUACUAGGAAAAAAAAUAUGUGAAAGAACCUGUGCCCAUCUUGACGGUACCUAAUCAAAAAGCCACGGCUAACUACGU
rnacentral:rRNA from 1 species